CAAUAGCGUAUAUUAACGUUGUUGCAGUUAAAAAGCUCGUAGUUGGAUUUCUGGAGGGAGCGUCGGCCCGUAUUUACGAGUGCGUGACGUCUCUGUCCAUCCUUGCGGGAAGGCACGGCAUUGAUUUGUUGUGUCGGAUCGCAUCAUUUACUGUGAAAAAAUUAGAGUGUUCAAAGCAGGCUUUCGCUUGAAUACAUUAGCAUGGAAUAAUAAGAUAGGACUUUGGUGCUAUUUUGUUGGUUGCGCCUAAAGUAAUGAUUAAUAGGGAUAGUUGGGGGCACCUGUAUUGCGUUGUCAGAGGUGAAAUUCUUGGAUUUACGCAAGACAAACAGCUGCGAAAGCGUCUGCCAAGGAUGUUUUCAUUAA
rnacentral:rRNA from 1 species